UUACCCUACUGAUGCCCGCGUCG
rnacentral:siRNA from 1 species